UGCUGUCACUUAUAGAUGGAUCCGCGCUGCAUUAGCUAGUUGGUAAGGUAACGGCUUACCAAGGCAACGAUGCAUAGCCGACCUGAGAGGGUGAUCGGCCACACUGGAACUGAGACACGGUCCAGACUCCUACGGGAGGCAGCAGUAGGGAAUCUUCCGCAAUGGGCGAAAGCCUGACGGAGCAACGCCGCGUGAGUGAUGAAGGUCUUCGGAUCGUAAAACUCUGUUAUUAGGGAAGAACAUAUGUGUAAGUAACUGUGCACAUCUUGACGGUACCUAAUCAGAAAGCCACGGCUAACUACGUGCCAGCAGCCGCGGUAAUACGUAGGUGGCAAGCGUUAUCCGGAAUUAUUGGGCGUAAAGCGCGCGUAGGCGGUUUUUUAAGUCUGAUGUGAAAGCCCACGGCUCAACCGUGGAGGGUCAUUGGAAACUGGAAAACUUGAGUGCAGAAGAGGAAAGUGGAAUUCCAUGUGUAGCGGUGAAAUGCGCAGAGAUAUGGAGGAACACCAGUGGCGAAGGCGACUUUCUGGUCUGUAACUGACG
rnacentral:rRNA from 1 species